AUGCUAGUAGCGGGUUCUGAACAUUAUGGUCUAUUCCAAACUCUGAUUUACAAGUCAGUAAUGAAUUUGUCAAAUGAUAUCAAACUGAAGUUAAGAGGUACUAUUUAGACAUUUUUCUUCAAAUCUAAUCUGUUCUGUCUUUCUUCUUUGUGAUAGAGUUACUCAUUUUUCAGUGUCUCUUUUACUCUCUUAAAUGAUUUUCUUUAGUAGUUUCAGUACUGAAUUACUUCUCCCACUGGAACUCCCUGGUGUUCAGCUUUUUGAAAAAUUUUUAAUGUAUCUUCCUAUAACCAGGUUCUCGGGGAAGCUUACCACAGAAUGACAGCUAUCCUGAUCUCCUAUGGGGAAGGAAGUUGGAGUAAAAAAAAUGAAAGGAGGAAAAGGAGAACACACAUAGAAUUUAACUUUCACUUCUGAUCUGUAUAAUUUCCAUGAAAAUAUCAAAUUAAAAACUGAGUUCCAAAGUAAUGUCUUCCCCUCAACUUUGCUGAUUGAUAAUGGCACGAAUUAAUACAAUAAAUGCAAUUGAUGACUCUUUUACUUAAUUUUUCCCAUGUACAUUUCUGAAGAAAUUCCUCUUGGAGACAAUAUGUGGAUAAAACCAUUAUUUCAGAAUUGGCUUAGGCUGCAAUUGGGCCCCAUUCACACCUGGGAAAGAGAAAUAUUUAUUUAUUUAUUUAUUUAAUCACAUCUUUUAUCUUAUUUUUCCUCCAUGGAGCUCCGGAAUGCACACUUAGUCCCAUCUGACAAUCCUUUAAACAUCACAGAAACUCUGGUUACGAUAAGUGAAAACUAAUGGACUAAAGUUACUAAGGUUCAUGGCUGAGUAAGGUUUCAGGUUCAGUUCUGCUUCACACUCAUUUCAUAUUUACAGAGUAAUAUAUGCACAUCUACUCAGAAACAAGCCUGUAGUAUGCAAUGAAGCGUACUACCAAAUAAAUGUUACAGGAAUGCAGGCUUUGGAAACUUUGAAGUACAGGCAGUCCCUGAGUUACAAAUAUCUGAUUUAUAAAUGACCUAUAGUUAAGAAUUGGGAUGAGAUAAUAGGAAUUGAGAUACAACUACCCCUCAGAAGGAAAAUUCACUCCUGGAAGAGUUAUCAUGGGGGGAAAGGGUCUCCACUGAGCUUUCUUGCCAAUCCUUGUUUCCACCGCAAGCCAAUUUCUUCCAAAUCCAACAAUCACAGGGACAGAAAAUGAAAUAAAAUCUUCUGAACAGGGGCACAGACAGCAAAACAACCACCACAAGGGUGUCAACCCUUUCCUAUGCUAUCCAAAGCUAUCUAUCUAUCUGCGCAUUUUGGCUGAACUUUGAACCGUUUCUAUUAUCAAGAUUUCAGGGACCUGCAGAUACAUUUUCGCACACUUCCCAAAAACAGGCGAGCGUCUGAAUUGCCAUUUUCAGUCUGCAGCCAAAAUUAAGAAGGCAGAAAGAUUGCAAAGGAUAAGAUUGUUAGUGGAAGGAUG